GGGGUUGCGACGCAGGGAGAGCAGGAAGGGGGAGAACCCUUCUUCUCCAUCUUACCAAGAAAAUCUACAAAUUGAAGGCGAUUUUGGAUGAAUUUCGUUUGCAUGUGAACAAUUUCUCAAUCAUCUAAGAGUUCCUAACCUAGGACGAAUUCCCCCUUGACCGAUGAUCCAGGAACGUGUCAAGGAGAGCUCAAGCAUAGGAGGAUAACGGGUC
rnacentral:lncRNA from 1 species